rnacentral:rRNA from 1 species
AUGGCGGGGCUGUUGGUUCCGGCACCCCAUGUGGUGCCGGAGAAGAAGGCCAAGAAGGUGUCCGAUGACUCCGAGGCGGACUCCUCCCCCGAGGAUGAGGAGAAGAAGAAAAGGGCCUCUCCCCCAGCGGGGGGAGGGAAGAAAAGGAGGACCUCCCCAACGAGGGAGGCCGAAGGGUCCAAGAAGGGAAGAACUCUUCCCCCGGACUGUUCUGCCAACACCGGUGACGACGACGAGGAUUGGCCUCCGAGGGCCAAGCCCCUGGCGAGAUCUCGGCCCAAGGACGAUCUUCCCGCUUCGUCGAGCGGGUCCUUGGGUUCGUCGGAUGUGAACAGCACUUCACUUCCAACCGCCUAUUCUCCCCGCGACGCUGACAACGUCGAGGUGGGAUCCCAGAGAGGGACCCAUCCGGAGGAGGAGGACCCGGAGGUAGCACAGGGCGACCUCCCGGACUUCGUGCCGGACUCCGCACCGGAACCUGCAGUGGUUCUGGAGUCCGGCAGGCGGCCCCUUCGCAAGAAGGGCAAGACCGUGGCGCCGGCGGCCUCCGUCCAACUGGAGGCGCCGGAUAACUUGCUGGAGGCGCUCAACGGCGCUUCCAUCGAGGAGGAACACCGCACUGUCAUGAGUGCGGUGAUUCAGAAGGUCCAGCUCACCAAAAGCGGGCUGACCGAAGCCUGCAGCAGCCUUCUAUCAGGCUUUGAGAUGUACGCAGGAGUCAUAAAAAAUAUGUCGAUAUGGGAUUGCAAGCUACCCUGCUGA